rnacentral:rRNA from 1 species
UACGUAGGGAGCAAGCGUUGUCCGGAUUUAUGGGGCGUAAAGAGCUCGUAGGCGGCUUAGUAAGUCAGGUGUGAAACCUCCAGGCUCAACCUGGAGACGCCACUUGAUACUGCUAUGGCUUGAGUUCGGUAGGGGAUCACGGAAUUCCUGGUGUAGCGGUGAAAUGCGCAGAUAUCAGGAAGAACACCGACGGCGAAGGCAGUGAUCUGGGCCGAUACUGACGCUGAGGAGCGAAAGCGUGGGGAGCGAACAGG